AUUGAACGCUGGCGGCAGGCCUAACACAUGCAAGUCGAGCGAGCGGCGGACGGGUGAGUAAUGUCUGGGAAACUGCCUGCUGGAGGGGGAUAACUACUGGAAACGGUAGCUACUACCGCAUACCAUCAGAUGUGCCCAGAUGGGAUUAGCUAGUAGGGGGGGUAACGGCUCACCUAGGCGACGAGCCCUAGCUGGUCUGCGGGGAUGACCAGCCACACUGGAACUGGGAAACGGUCCGGACUCCAACGGGAGGCACCAGGGGGGAAUAUUGGACAAUGGGGAAAAGCCUGAUGCAGCCAUGCGGCGGGUGGGAAGAAGGCCUUCGGGUUGUAAAGCACGUUCAGCGGGGAGGCGUUACCGGCAGAAGAAGCACCGGCUAACUCCGUGCCAGCAGCCGCGGUAAUAC
rnacentral:rRNA from 1 species